rnacentral:misc_RNA from 1 species
GAUGAAGAACGUAGCGAAAUGCGAUAAGUAAUGUGAAUUGCAGAAUUCAGUGAAUCAUCGAAUCUUUGAACGCACAUUGCGCCCGCCAGUAUUCUGGCGGGCAUGCCUGUUCGAGCGUCAUUUCAACCCUCAAGCCCCCGGGCUUGGUGUUGGGGAUCGGCGUGCCCUCGCGGCGCGCCGUCCCCUAAAUCUAGUGGCGGUCUCGCUGUAGCCUCCUCUGCGUAGUAGCAACACUCGCACUGGAUCGCAGCGCGGCCACGCCGUUAAACCCCCCACUUCUGAAAGUUUGACCUCGGAUCAGGUAGGAAUACCCGCUGAACUUAAGCAUAUCAAUAAGCGGAGGA